rnacentral:rRNA from 1 species
CGGGCACCUAUCUUCGGAUAGAAGCGAGUGGCGAACGGCUGAAUAACACGUGGAGAACCUGCCCCCUCCCCCGGGAUAGCCGCCCGAAAGGACGGGUAAUACCGGAUACCCCGGGGUGCCGCAUGGCACCCCGGCUAAAGCCCCGACGGGAGGGGAUGGCUCCGCGGCCCAUCAGGUAGACGGCGGGGUGACGGCCCACCGUGCCGACAACGGGUAGCCGGGUUGAGAGGCCGACCGGCCAGAUUGGGACUGAGACACGGCCCAG